CGUCCGAUGCCACGUAGCCGGUGGCCAAUGGCGUUGACCGGCGACGGUAUGAUUGGACGGAAUCAAAUUCAUAUUCCGCCUGGUUUCUGUUGAUCCACGGAGCCGUUUUCGGCGAUUACAUUU
rfam:Jatropha curcas cultivar GZQX0401 scaffold285_40, whole genome shotgun sequence.